AGUCUUCGGGACUCGGCAGACGGCUCAGUAACACGCGGAUAAUCUGCCCUUGGGUGGGGAAUAAUCUCGGGAAACUGAGCAUAAUACCCCAUAGGCCUGAGAUGCUGGAACGCCCUCAGGCUAAAAGCUCCGGCGCCCAAGGAUGAGUCUGCGGCCUAUCAGCUUGUAGUUGGUGUAAAUGACCAACUAGGCGACGACGGGUACGGGCAUUGGGAGAUGUAGCCCGGAGAUGUACUCUGAGACACGAGUCCAGGCCCUACGGGGCGCAGCAGUCGCGAAAACUUCACAAUGUGGGAAACCGCGAUGAGGGGAUUCCAAGUGCUUGCGUUUUGCGUAAGCUGUUCUCCUGCCUAAAAAGCAGGGGGAGUAAGGGCUGGGUAAGACGGGUGCCAGCCGCCGCGGUAAUACCCGCAGCCCAAGUGGUGGUCGAUAUUAUUGAGCUUAAAGCGUCCGUAGCCUGUCUGGUAAAUUCUUGGGUAAAUCGUGCAGCUUAACUGUCCGAAUUCCGAGGAGACUGCCAGACUUGGGACCGGGAGAGGUUGGAGGUACUCUUGGGGUAGGGGUAAAAUCCCGUAAUCCUGGGAGGACCAUCAGUGGCGAAGGCGUCCAACUGGAACGGAUCCGACGGUCAGGGACGAAGCCCUGGGUCGCGAACUGGAUUAGAUACCCAGGUAGUCCAGGGUGUAAACGCUGCAGACUUGGUGUCGGAGGUCCUACGAGGGCGUCCGGUGCCGGAGAGAAAUUGUUAAGUCUGCCGCUUGGGGAGUACG
rnacentral:rRNA from 1 species